rnacentral:rRNA from 1 species
UGAACGCUGGCGGCAGGCUUAACACAUGCAAGUCGAACGGUAACAUAAAGAAGCUUGCUUCUUUGAUGACGAGUGGCGGACGGGUGAGUAAUGCUUGGGAAUCUAGCUUAUGGAGGGGGAUAACUACGGGAAACUGUAGCUAAUACCGCGUAAUAUCGAAAGAUUAAAGUGUGGGACCUUCGGGCCACAUGCCAUAGGAUGAGCCCAAGUGGGAUUAGGUAGUUGGUGAGGUAAAGGCUCACCAAGCCGACGAUCUCUAGCUGGUCUGAGAGGAUGACCAGCCACACUGGGACUGAGACACGGCCCAGACUCCUACGGGAGGCAGCAGUGGGGAAUAUUGCGCAAUGGGGGCAACCCUGACGCAGCCAUGCCGCGUGAAUGAAGAAGGCCUUCGGGUUGUAAAGUUCUUUCGGUAGCGAGGAAGGCAUUUAGUUUAAUAGACUAGAUGAUUGACGUUAACUACAGAAGAAGCACCGGCUAACUCC